UACGUAGGGCGCAAGCGUUGUCCGGAAUUAUUGGGCGUAAAGAGCUCGUAGGCGGUUUGUCGCGUCUGCUGUGAAAACCUAAGGCUCAACCUUGGGCUUGCAGUGGGUACGGGCAGACUAGAGUGCGGUAGGGGUGACUGGAAUUCCUGGUGUAGCGGUGGAAUGCGCAGAUAUCAGGAGGAACACCGAUGGCGAAGGCAGGUCACUGGGCCGCAACUGACGCUGGAGGAGCGGAAAAGCAU
rnacentral:rRNA from 1 species